AAGAAGUUCCUUUUCAAAUUGGAUUCUACUUCAGGAAAAACAAAAAAAAAAAAAGCCAAAAAGAAAAUGAAUUCACCACUUCAAAAAAUGAAUUGGCGGAGGGAGAGAACCUGGAAGAAGCCUAUCUUGGCAUUCUUGAUACUACACUGCCAUCCAGCGGAAUUACUUUGCUGUACUGCCACCACCUCUAUGAAGCUUUUUCUCAGCCUAUCUGAAAGUGAGUUGUGAGUGCCCAGGACUUCUGGUUCAAAUACUGAAUCAGCAAUCAAUGAACAAAUGAAGGUACGUCCAGCCAACUGACCUGUUCUGGGGUUAGACAGGGUUUGUUUUUGGAGUAAUAAAUUCAGCUACUCGGGAAUUUGGCUCCAGCUGCAGAUGUAGCAGAGGAGAUGGCUUUGCUUGGCAUCAAUAGGAGGAGAUGCCCUUGGUCCUAUAAAGGCUAAAUACCCCAGUGUAGGGGAAUACCAGAGAUUUGAGGUGAGAGUGGGUACAUCCUCAUAGAACCAGGUAGAUGAGGGAGGGGAAUGGGAGGGGAGAAUAACAUUUGAAAUGUAAAUACAUAAAAUAUUCAAUUAAAAAAAACCAGUAGGAUUAAUUCAGAAAGACUGGUGGUCAGAAAAACUCAACCACAUUGUAGUCUCCUGGCAAAGAGAAACCCCAGGGUCAAGGUCAAAAUGACUCCUCCACCAUGUGGUGACUGUUUUAAGUAGGAAGCUGACCUGUUCAACCAGAGGAAUCAUGGGUAGAAUAAGUCCCAACUUUGACAGGUGGCAGAAAUGGAGCUAUAUUCUCCUAGACUUCAGAGUAAGCUAGCUGUGUGUUCCUGUGUUUUACACUUGCAUCUCAAGAUGUCCUCUGCAGAGGAAGCAAGGUCAUAGAGUAUCCAGAAUCCAUGGCAAAGUCUCUUGCCUCUAGUAGGUUGGAAGACAUUACUAAACUCAGACACAGGAACAUGGUUAGUCUACAGUGUAAGUCUUUUAGAGACUCAACCUCUGCAUAGAAUAGAUGGGUACACCUGACAGGCAGUGCUCAGAUCACUGAGCAGUGUCAUUCUGUUCCGUUGGGAGGUGCAAGUCUUUGUUUUCGAUGCUCUGCCCAAGACCCUUCCCUUGAAAGUGUGUGAAAGGUGCCAGGUCCAGUCUUUAGGUAUGUCUUGCCUUGGGCCAGUGAGAACUUGUAGCAAGACAGUCAGGCACAAGAGCUUCAUCCAUAUCUCCAUAAUGAAAUUUGCUCUACCUCAGAAGCUCCCUCUUGUGUAUCUUAAGGCCUUCUUUCUCAGGGAAAUUACAUGCUUCACAAUAGUCACAAAUAUUAUAAAAUACCCUGGGGUAACUCUAACCAAACGAGUGAAGGUUCUGUAUAUAACAACUUCAAGUCUCUAAAUAAAUAAAUAAAUAAAUAGGAAGAAGAGCUCAGAAAAUGGAGAGAUAUCCCACAAUUAUGAACUAGUAGGCUAAACCUAGUAAAAUGGCCAUCUUAACAAAAUCAGUUUACAGAUUAAAUGCAAUCCCCAUCAAAAUCCCAACACAAUUCAUUAAAAACAUGGAAAAAGCAAUUCUCAAUUUCAUGCUGCACAUGAUUUUUAAAAACCAAGAUCCACAUACAAGUAGUACUAUUUCCCUGUGAGAAAAUGAAAUACGGGCAAAUAUCUUUUCUGGCAGAGGCUGAGUAGGAUAGUGGAAAGUAUUGUUUAUAGACAACGAGAUCAUAAUAUUUUCCAGGAACGGUCAAAGAGAUGGAAUACAGCCAGAACUGAGGAGCUAGUGGGUUGGUAGCAGCUGGGAUAGGCUAACAGUUCUUUGAAAUUUACUAGUUCCCAGUUAGGUUCAAUGGGAGCCUACUGUUUCAUUAGAGUCUGAAAUUGCCUCAACACAAAAUCUCAUGUGAGCAGCCAGUACUGGUGCAUACCUUUAAUCACAGCACAUAGGAGGCAGAGUUAUGCAGAUUUCUUGGAGUUCAAGGUCAGCCUGGUCAACAACACAAGUUUCAGGAGAGCCUGACCUGCUACAGAGAGAAACUCUGUCUCGGAAAACAAAAGGUUGGGGCAAAACAGCUCAUGUGAGCUAUGCAAGAUGGCUGACAGACACAACUGAGUACACAGACAGGGUCCUAGAAUUCUUAGGCUAGGGUCUCAGGGAAAGAAAACCAAAGGGUUCUGAUGACAGUUGUCCUUUCUCCUCUUUCUCCUCUGGUUCUCUUCCAUGGUCUGAGGAACUGGGGCUGUGAAAAUAGAAACAAUCCCUAUGUAUUCUCUACUCUGCACAAGCUGGAGUCUCCUCAUCCUUGGCCAUGUGUGGCUGGCACGUAGACUUGCAGACUGGAGAUGCCCUGGAAUUGAACUCACUGCCCCAUGUUUGCAGAACAGUUAAGAAAAAACAUACCUGGAGAACCUUACUAGGAAGAUUUUGAGGGCUGAAAGUUAUGGCUGCUUUGAGCUCUCAAGGGAACUGAUGCCUGGGAUCCUAAGGAUCUGAAUACAUGGAGAAGGACAAAGAAAUUUCCAAUCUGAGGUCUUUGGAUCCUUAAGCCAAUAGAACAGAAUAGAGAGGAGAGCUGCUAACCAAACACUUCGGUCUUCUUGUCUAAAGAUCUCAACUUAUGGAGUCCAUGACCCUGGAUUUGCAUGGGUGGAUGUUCUGGGCCAUUGCUACAUCAUGGAUGUUUUCCCGGCCUGUGGGUUGUGUGGGGACCUGAUUUGAUGCUGAACCCCGGAUUCCAAGUCCAAGACAAAGAGAGCUCUCCCAGCAAAACUCCUGAAGUACAGCAGAAGAAUAAAGGGAAUAAAAAGGAAGCCAAAAGACAGAAAAUACAGAAAGGAAGGGAAGAAAAAAAGCAGAGACAACAGGCUGAGUAUCUAAGAGUGGAAGGAGGGAAGGAAUGAAAAAGAGGGAGUAAUGGAAGUGAGAGUAGGGUAGAGAGUAUGAUGAAUUGAAAGGACUGACAUAUUUUUGACCUCUAGAUGGCAUUUCUCGAGACCCUGAAGCUCAUGAACAAAGUCCAGAAUCUCAUGGGCACUGGCUGAUUCCAAGAAAUGAGAUAUAUAUGCAGAAAGGUAUCUAAAAAACAGGUCAGAGGCAAUUGGGGGAGAUUCCUAACCUUGAUCAGCAAGUUACCCACAUAUCUGUGCCCCAGUUGAUGAAUCCGAAAUAGUGUUCCUCAUCACUGUGCAAACAUGGCCGCCUCGAGAUCACAAAGCCCAUAUUCGCAAGUAGCUGAAUUUAUUACUCAGAGAAGCAAGCUGGCUAACCGCAGAACCUGCCAGUUGGCUCAAGCUACCUUCACUUUAAUAUUUGAACCAGAAGCUGAAGCACUCCUCACCCACUACCAGACUUGCCAAGGAAAAGCUUAUGGAGGUGUUGAUAAGAACAGCAAAGCAAUUCCACUGGAUGGCAGUGUAGUAUCAAGAAUGUGAAGAUACCCUUCUUACAGGUUCUCUCCCUCCGCCCUUCUUGGAGUGAAAAAAAAAAAAAACUGAAACAGUUCAACAUAACACUUGACUCUGAUAUAUGUUAGAUAGAAAUUGGUUCCUUAUGUCUACAGUACCUAUUAUCACUGAUCUGACCUGGGUGGUCUCUGUUUCAGUGUAUUAAGAUAUUCUCCCACAAGGACAGGGACCAUCCUCAAGGCAUAAGGGCCAAACAGGAAAACCCAAUGAGGAUCCCUUCCCCUGGAUGCAAGGGUCAGGAGAAGCCAUAGAAACAAACUUCUAGCCAGAGACUUAGUCUGGGGCACAGUACAGCACCAUCAGUUCAGCACUCGAGUUCGCACUAAAUUGGGAACUGCAAAGCUAGAAAGAAGAGUCAGAAGACGCAAUACAUAUAAAUUCUUCAGAAGAAACGGGACCUUGGGCUGAGUACAAGUCCCUCCUGUGCUACCAAGAUAUAUCUAUUCUUCAGUCCUUUGCCCCCAGACAUUUUGAGAGAAAACACACUGAAUUAUUGGUGGGAACAUUAAGAACAGAUCACUUGCUGACAGUAUUGAACCAAGAAGCCAAGGUACCCAUCUUUCAGGUUCUCUCCCUCCACCCUUCUUUGAUAAACAACAACAACAACAACAACACCACACACGCACACACACACACACACACACACACACACACACACACACACACACACAUUUUGCCAAUAAAUCCCAAGUUGACUGACCUUAAUCAUGGCCUCCUUUGGCCAGAGAUGGGCUUUGGAGCUUCACUGUAUACAUACUGUCUCGGAGGUCACAGGCCACACAAGUUCCUCAUUCCCAGUCCAACACAAGAACGUGGCAUGCCCUCAGAAACAUACAGGAAAACUAAGAGCAAUGGUCAAAAGAAGGUCUACAAAUACAUUCUUAGGCAGAAACUUGACCUUGGGCAACAUAUGACUCACUCACAUCUUUCCAGAAAUAAUCUGACUGGCCCAUAUGUACAUAACUUAUAACUGGAAUUUUGUCAGUGAGUGCCAAGGUAAACCAUAGAGUGUUCAGUCCUCCCACGGGGAAGAAGAGAUUGUAUAGCCAUUCGACAACCAAGCUUCUAGUUCAAGGCUACCUGAUUCUUCUCCCUACACAUACAUACCAGGCUCCUGACAGGAAAAGUUGGAAGGACAAAUAAGGAAGACAGUUGGAACAAUAGAGACAACCAGCUAUUCAAACAGAGUCAAGGGCCAGUGAUACAUUCAAACCUAGAAGAAGGAGAUGCCAGGUUGUAGUGAAGAAGAAAAAAAAAAACCACACACACACACACACACACAGAUGCUUUCCUUUUUGAGUGCCCUAGUUCCUUUUUUACAAACCAGAGUCAAAAUAAAAACUACAACUGUCACCCAAACUCUUUGGUCUUCUUGUCCAGAGAACCCAACCUGUGCAUUCCCAGACCUUGUCUGUACUUCCUGUCAGCCAUAUUGUAAAGUUCAUGUGAGUUUUUUGUGUUAAGUCACUUUAUCCUCUAAUGAAACAUUGGGCUUCUAGAAUAUUCACCUGGGAACUAUGUCAAAGAACUGUUAGCCCUACAGAUACUACGUCAGAGUAAAAGGUUGGGAAAAAAGGUCUUCCAAGCAAAUGGUCCCAAGAAACAAGCUGGAGUUGCCAUCCUAAUAUCCAAUAAAAUACACUUUCAACCAAAAGUUAUCAAGCAAGAUCAUCAAGAAUAAAAAUCCACCAUGAGAAAGUCUCAAUUCUGAACAUCUAUACCCCAAAUGCAUGUGCUCCCACAUUCAUAAACUUUACUAAAGCUCAAAACACACAUUGAACCCUACACAAUAAUAGAGACUUAGUCACCCCACUCUCGCAG
ensembl:lncRNA